rfam:Schistosoma haematobium scaffold770_26, whole genome shotgun sequence.
AUCCAGCUGAUGAGUUCCGAAUAGGGCUAAACGCACGUACUGGAU